AGAUUUUAGUCUCCCUUCUGUGCUCAUUUUGAAGUAACUUCACUAGGCACUGAACAGAAAUGACAGACGACCCGUUUUUCCUCCUGUUAUGCCAGAUUUGCCUCGGUGCGUGCACCUUGCAGAGAGCAGAAAACAACUUCCAGGUUCUACUCUUUGUUGAGAAGGAAUCUCAAGGCUCUUGCCUGUGGAGCUGCUAGGUCUGUAUGCACAGAGGCAACGAGCACAGCAGCAGAAGCAGAACUAACCUGCCCUUACAGCCCUGAGCAGUAUGUCCACACCGAGAGGAGUUGCCAGCAGAGCUAAGCUCCUCACAGCACAGCAGAAAGACCUACCUGUGCGCAGUGGGGCUCCCCCUUGCGAGCAGCUCGAUGCCCAAAGAUCACGGUGAGAACAAUCCAAGAGGCCAGCACAGCUCCUACACACACCUCCACACCAGCAGCCACCUUGACACACCGCCUA